UACGAAGGGUGCAAGCGUUAAUCGGAAUUACUGGGCGUAAAGCGCGCGUAGGUGGUUCGUUAAGUUGGAUGUGAAAGCCCCGGGAUCAACCUGGGAACUGCAUCCAAAACUGGCGAGCGAGAGUAUGGCAGAGGGUGGUGGAAUUUCCUGUGUAGCGGUGAAAUGCGUAGAUAUAGGAAGGAACACCAGUGGCGAAGGCGAACACCUGGGCUAAUACUGACACUGAGGUGCGACAGCGUGGGGCGACAACAGGAUUAGAUCCCCGGGUAGUCC
rnacentral:rRNA from 1 species